rnacentral:rRNA from 1 species
UACGUAGGGGGCAAGCGUUGUCCGGAUUCAUUGGGCGUAAAGAGCUCGUAGGCGGCUUGGCAAGUCGGGUGUGAAAACUCCAGGCUCAACCUGGAGACGCCACCCGAUACUGCCAUGGCUAGAGUCCGGUAGGGGACCACGGGAAUUCCUGGUGUAGCGGUUGAAAUGCGCAGAUAUCAGGAAGAACACCGGUGGCGAAGGCGGCUCUCUGGGCCUUACCUGACGCUGAGGAGCGAAAGCGUGGGUAGCAAACAGG